rnacentral:rRNA from 3 species
GGGUUGUGAGGUUAAGCGACUAAGCGUACACGGUGGAUGCCCUGGCAGUCAGAGGCGAUGAAGGGCGUGCUAAUCUGCGAUAAGCGCCGGUAAGGUGAUAUGAACCGUUAUAACCGGCGAUACCCGAAUGGGGAAACCCAGUGUGAUUCGUCACACUAUCAUUAACUGAAUCCAUAGGUUAAUGAGGCGAACCGGGGGAACUGAAACAUCUAAGUACCCCGAGGAAAAGAAAUCAACCGAGAUUCCCCCAGUAGCGGCGAGCGAACGGGGAGGAGCCCAGAGCCUGAAUCAGCAUGUGUGUUAGUGGAAGCGUCUGGAAAGGCGCGCGAUACAGGGUGACAGCCCCGUACACAAAAGCGCAUAUGCUGUGAGCUCGAUGAGUAGGGCGGGACACGUGGUAUCCUGUCUGAAUAUGGGGGGACCAUCCUCCAAGGCUAAAUACUCCUGACUGACCGAUAGUGAACCAGUACCGUGAGGGAAAGGCGAAAAGAACCCCGGCGAGGGGAGUGAAAAAGAACCUGAAACCGUGUACGUACAAGCAGUGGGAGCCCCACCACUAAGCCAGUGGUGAACUCCACAUACGCAUCCUUUGCUGAGGAGACGGUUAACGGAGCGAAAGCGACGUUCAACCUCAAAAGAAGCAGAGGGGGCUUAGUGGUGGGGUGACUGCGUACCUUUUGUAUAAUGGGUCAGCGACUUAUAUUCUGUAGCAAGGUUAACUGUAUAGGGGAGCCGGAGGGAAACCGAGUCUUAACCGGGCGUUAAGUUGCAGGGUAUAGACCCGAAACCCGGUGAUCUAGCCAUGGGCAGGUUGAAGGUUGGGUAACACUAACUGGAGGACCGAACCGACUAAUGUUGAAAAAUUAGCGGAUGACCUGUGGCUGGGGGUGAAAGGCCAAUCAAACCGGGAGAUAGCUGGUUCUCCCCGAAAGCUAUUUAGGUAGCGCCUCGUGAAUUCAUCUCCGGGGGUAGAGCACUGUUUCGGCUAGGGGGCCAUCCCGGCUUACCAACCCGAUGCAAACUGCGAAUACCGGAGAAUGUUAUCACGGGAGACACACGGCGGGUGCUAAUGUCCGUCGUGAAGAGGGAAACAACCCAGACCGCCAGCUAAGGUCCCAAAGUCAUGGUUAAGUGGGAAACGAUGUGGGAAGGCCCAGACAGCCAGGAUGUUGGCUUAGAAGCAGCCAUCAUUUAAAGAAAGCGUAAUAGCUCACUGGUCGAGUCGGCCUGCGCGGAAGAUGUAACGGGGCUAAACCAUGCACCGAAGCUGCGGCAGCGACACCGUGUGUUGUUGGGUAGGGGAGCGUUCUGUAAGCCUGUGAAGGUGUGCUGUGAGGCAUGCUGGAGGUAUCAGAAGUGCGAAUGCUGACAUAAGUAACGAUAAAGCGGGUGAAAAGCCCGCUCGCCGGAAGACCAAGGGUUCCUGUCCAACGUUAAUCGGGGCAGGGUGAGUCGACCCCUAAGGCGAGGCCGAAAGGCGUAGUCGAUGGGAAACGGGUUAAUAUUCCCGUACUUGGUGUUACUGCGAAGGGGGGACGGAGAAGGCUAUGUUGGCCGGGCGACGGUUGUCCCGGUUUAAGCGUGUAGGUAUGUGUUCCAGGUAAAUCCGGUUCACUUUAACACUGAGGCGUGACGACGAGGCACUACGGUGCUGAAGCAACAAAUGCCCUGCUUCCAGGAAAAGCCUCUAAGCAUCAGGUAACAUCAAAUCGUACCCCAAACCGACACAGGUGGUCAGGUAGAGAAUACCAAGGCGCUUGAGAGAACUCGGGUGAAGGAACUAGGCAAAAUGGUGCCGUAACUUCGGGAGAAGGCACGCUGACACGUAGGUGAAGUGAUUUACUCACGGAGCUGAAGUCAGCCGAAGAUACCAGCUGGCUGCAACUGUUUAUUAAAAACACAGCACUGUGCAAACACGAAAGUGGACGUAUACGGUGUGACGCCUGCCCGGUGCCGGAAGGUUAAUUGAUGGGGUCAGCGCAAGCGAAGCUCCUGAUCGAAGCCCCGGUAAACGGCGGCCGUAACUAUAACGGUCCUAAGGUAGCGAAAUUCCUUGUCGGGUAAGUUCCGACCUGCACGAAUGGCGUAAUGAUGGCCAGGCUGUCUCCACCCGAGACUCAGUGAAAUUGAACUCGCUGUGAAGAUGCAGUGUACCCGCGGCAAGACGGAAAGACCCCGUGAACCUUUACUAUAGCUUGACACUGAACAUUGAGCCUUGAUGUGUAGGAUAGGUGGGAGGCUUUGAAGUG